GACGUAGGGUGCAAGCGUUGUCCGGAUUUACUGGGCGUAAAGAGCGCGUAGGCGGUCCGUUAAGUGUGAAGCUAAAUCUCUUGGCUCAACCAAGAAACUAUUUCGCAUACUGACGGGCUGGAGUGAUGCAGAGGUGGAUAGAAUUCCCGGUGUAGCGGUGAAAUGCGUUGAUAUCGGGAGGAACACCUGCGGCGAAGGCGGGUUGCUGGGCUGACACUGACGCUGAACUGCGAAAGCUAGGGGAGCGAACGGG
rnacentral:rRNA from 1 species